GCAUAUGAUCAUGGCUCAGAUUGAACGCUGGCGGCAGGCCUAACACAUGCAAGUCGAGCGGAAAGCUUACCGAGUUAUCUGAACCUUCGGGGAACGAUAACGGCGUCGAGCGGCGGACGGGUGAGUAAUGCCUAGGAAAUUGCCCUGAUGUGGGGGAUAACCAUUGGAAACGAUGGCUAAUACCGCAUGAUGCCUACGGGCCAAAGAGGGGGACCUUCGGGCCUCUCGCGUCAGGAUAUGCCUAGGUGGGAUUAGCUAGUUGGUGAGGUAAGGGCUCACCAAGNGGCUGGGAUCUAGCUGGUCUGAGAGGAUGAUCAGCCACACUGGAACUGAGACACGGUCCAGACUCCUACGGGAGGCAGCAGUGGGGAAUAUUGCACAAUGGGCGCAAGCCUGAUGCAGCCAUGCCGCGUGUGUGAAGAAGGCCUUCGGGUUGUAAAGCACUUUCAGUCGUGAGGAAGGUAGUGUAGUUAAUAGCUGCAUNAUUUGACGUUAGCGACAGAAGAAGCACCGGCUAACUCCGUGCCAGCAGCCGCGGUAAUACGGAGGGUGCGAGCGUUAAUCGGAAUUACUGGGCGUAAAGCGCAUGCAGGUGGUUUGUUAAGUCAGAUGUGAAAGCCCGGGGCUCAACCUCGGAAUAGCAUUUGAAACUGGCAGACUAGAGUACUGUAGUUAGGGGUAGAAUUUCAGGUGUAGCGGUGA
rnacentral:rRNA from 1 species